rnacentral:lncRNA from 1 species
GCCACACAGCCCGGCCCCACUCCCCAGGCCCCCGGCCCCAUAGGCCUCUAGCCACAGCCUGGCUGCUGUCCUCAUGUCCUUGGCUCUGGCCUGGUGAAGGCCAAGGGCACUUCAGAACCUCCCUGUGCCUCCAUGUGCCAGGUUGGGGCUGGGCACGAGGCCACAGCAGGGGCUGGCAGGUGGUGACCUCUGCUCCUCGACCUGGGAUGCUCCAGGUUGAGACGUAGGGUAGCUGCAGUCCCAGCAAUGACAAGCUCUGGGUAACCCUGUGCCCAGGAGAGCUGCCUCCUGCUCCAUGUCUACCACUGAGGCCUCC